GACAUAUCUAUGGCCCAUUGCCGCUUUGCACAAAUGAAUCAAUUGUAAUAUAUAUCACUGUGGCUGGUUCUGUGAUUCCAAUGCGCGUGUUGGAGUCUGAUUCGAUUGGUGAAGUGAAACUUAAGCUCCAAACUUGUAAAGGGUUUGUAGUUAAGAUGCAGAAGCUAGUUUUUGGUGGCAGAGAGCUGGCAAGAAAUGAAUCAUUGGUCAGGGACUAUGGAGUCAGUAAUGGGAAUGUGUUGCAUAUGGUCUUCAAGAUCUCUGAUCUCCUCGUCAUCACUGUUAGGACCACUUGUGGCAUGGAAUUUGAAUUCCCUGUUGACAGGCAUCAAGAUAUUGGGUACCUUAAACGUACCAUAUUGAAGAAAGGUAAAGACUUUGGUGAGGAACUUAAGGUUCA
rnacentral:misc_RNA from 1 species